rnacentral:rRNA from 1 species
ACCCGGAGAACUGAAACAUCUUAGUACCCGGAGGAAGAGAAAGAAAAUUCGAUUCCCUUAGUAGCGGCGAGCGAAACGGGAAGAGCCCAAACCAAAAAGCUUGCUUGUUGGGGUUGUAGGACACUCUAUACGGAGUUACAAAGGACGACAUUAGACGAAUCAUCUGGAAAGAUGAAUCAAAGAAGGUAAUAAUCCUGUAGUCGAAAAUGUUGUCUCUCUUGAGUGGAUCCUGAGUACGACGGAGCACGUGAAAUUCCGUCGGAAUCUGGGAGGACCAUCUCCUAAGGCUAAAUACUCUCUAGUGACCGAUAGUGAACCAGUACCGUGAGGGAAAGGUGAAAAGCACCCCGGAAGGAGAGUGAAAUAGAACCUGAAACCGUGUGCUUACAAGUAGUCAGAGCCCGUUAAUGGGUGAUGGCGUGCCUUUUGUAGAAUGAACCGGCGAGUUACGAUUUGAUGCAAGGUUAAGCAGUAAAUGUGGAGCCGUAGCGAAAGCGAGUCUGAAUAGGGCGUUUAGUAUUUGGUCGUAGACCCGAAACCAGGUGAUCUACCCUUGGUCAGGUUGAAGUUCAGGUAACACUGAAUGGAGGACCGAACCGACUUACGUUGAAAAGUGAGCGGAUGAACUGAGGGUAGCGGAGAAAUUCCAAUCGAACCUGGAGAUAGCUGGUUCUCUCCGAAAUAGCUUUAGGGCUAGCCUCAAGUGAUGAUUAUUGGAGGUAGAGCACUGUUUGGACGAGGGGCCCCUCUCGGGUUACCGAAUUCAGACAAACUCCGAAUGCCAAUUAAUUUAACUUGGGAGUCAGAACAUGGGUGAUAAGGUCCGUGUUCGAAAGGGAAACAGCCCAGACCACCAGCUAAGGUCCCAAAAUAUAUGUUAAGUGGAAAAGGAUGUGGCGUUGCCCAGACAACUAGGAUGUUGGCUUAGAAGCAGCCAUCAUUUAAAGAGUGCGUAAUAGCUCACUAGUCGAGUGACACUGCGCCGAAAAUGUACCGGGGCUAAACAUAUUACCGAAGCUGUGGAUUGUCCUUUGGACAAUGGUAGGAGAGCGUUCUAAGGGCGUUGAAGCAUGAUCGUAAGGACAUGUGGAGCGCUUAGAAGUGAGAAUGCCGGUGUGAGUAGCGAAAGACGGGUGAGAAUCCCGUCCACCGAUUGACUAAGGUUUCCAGAGGAAGGCUCGUCCGCUCUGGGUUAGUCGGGUCCUAAGCUGAGGCCGACAGGCGUAGGCGAUGGAUAACAGGUUGAUAUUCCUGUACCACCUAUAAUCGUUUUAAUCGAUGGGGGGACGCAGUAGGAUAGGCGAAGCGUGCGAUUGGAUUGCACGUCUAAGCAGUAAGGCUGAGUAUUAGGCAAAUCCGGUACUCGUUAAGGCUGAGCUGUGAUGGGGAGAAGACAUUGUGUCUUCGAGUCGUUGAUUUCACACUGCCGAGAAAAGCCUCUAGAUAGAAAAUAGGUGCCCGUACCGCAAACCGACACAGGUAGUCAAGAUGAGAAUUCUAAGGUGAGCGAGCGAACUCUCGUUAAGGAACUCGGCAAAAUGACCCCGUAACUUCGGGAGAAGGGGUGCUCUUUAGGGUUAACGCCCAGAAGAGCCGCAGUGAAUAGGCCCAAGCGACUGUUUAUCAAAAACACAGGUCUCUGCUAAACCGUAAGGUGAUGUAUAGGGGCUGACGCCUGCCCGGUGCUGGAAGGUUAAGAGGAGUGGUUAGCUUCUGCGAAGCUACGAAUCGAAGCCCCAGUAAACGGCGGCCGUAACUAUAACGGUCCUAAGGUAGCGAAAUUCCUUGUCGGGUAAGUUCCGACCCGCACGAAAGGCGUAACGAUUUGGGCACUGUCUCAACGAGAGACUCGGUGAAAUCAUAGUACCUGUGAAGAUGCAGGUUACCCGCGACAGGACGGAAAGACCCCGUGGAGCUUUACUGUAGCCUGAUAUUGAAAUUCGGCACAGCUUGUACAGGAUAGGUAGGAGCCUUUGAAACGUGAGCGCUAGCUUACGUGGAGGCGCUGGUGGGAUACUACCCUAGCUGUGUUGGCUUUCUAACCCGCACCACUUAUCGUGGUGGGAGACAGUGUCAGGCGGGCAGUUUGACUGGGGCGGUCGCCUCCUAAAAGGUAACGGAGGCGCUCAAAGGUUCCCUCAGAAUGGUUGGAAAUCAUUCAUAGAGUGUAAA